rnacentral:lncRNA from 1 species
UAUGUGAUUUGUUAGUAGACAUCGAGAGGAUACCAAUUUUCGAUGGGCUAUAUACCGAUUUCACCUGCUAAUUUUUGGGGAUACUUCAUGCCCUGAGCGUGGGAAUUGCAUGUUCAUUGUGACGUCAUGCGCAUUCAGAGUCGAUUUUGGAACCAUCGGAGUGGAAGCUCGAGGAGUUGCUAGAUAGGCGUCACGCCAUCAACAUCACCUCUGGAAUUUAGACGGAAGAGCAGCUAGGCGUUCCACUCACGGCUUUGGCACCAUGUUCCACUUCGGUUUCGUCAAGCCCGCUUCAACUGGCUUCCUCCUCAGUGUGAUGACGCCUUCGGGAAGUGUCAAAAAGGUUGUGGUGCAGCUUGACACGAAAAUUCGGGAGGUGAAGCAAGAGCUGGAGCGUGAGGAUGGUGUCGUGAGUGCCAGCAGGCAGCGGUUGAUGGUGAGGGGCGAGGAAAUGCAAAAUCAUAAAAGUUUGAGUGAUUACGGGAUCACAAAAGAUUCUGUGAUCAGGAUGGAGGUCACUGAAGAGCAGGAGGAGGAGGGGUCUUGUUGGUUAUCUUAGUUCGCUCCAGACACUGUCUAUAUAUUUAUUAUUUCGCAUAUAUAUUGAUGGUGUAGGUUUUACCCUAAUAAAUUUGAUAUAAAU